UUUAACGAGAGUUUGAUCCUGGCUCAGGAUGAACGCUGGCGGUAUGUCUAAGGCAUGCAAGUCUAAGGUCUUCUUCGGAAGGCCUGGCAAACGGGAGAGUAACACAUUGGUAACUCACCCCUAGUUCAAGUAUAACUCUGUGAAAACGGAGACAAUCCUUGAUAGUCCGUUAAUCUCCAGCAAUGGAGUUUAACGGUAAAGGUCCGCCGACUAGGGAGAGGCCUAUGGCUUAUCAGCUUGUUGGUGAGGUAAAAGCUCACCAAGGCAAUGACGAGUAGCGGGCGUAAGAGCGUGACCCGUCCCACUGGAACUGAGACACUGUCCAGACUCCUACGGGAGGCUGCAGUCAAGAAUCUUUCGCAAUGGCCGAAAGGCUGACGGAGCAAUACCGCGUGAAGGAAGACACCCCUCGGGGCGUAAACUUCUUUUCUUAGGGAAGAAUUAGUGACGUUACCUAAGGAAUAAGCAACUGCUAACUUCGUGCCAGCAGCAGCGGUAAUACGAAGGUUGCAAGCGUUAUCCGGAAUCAUUGGGCGUAAAGCGUCUGUAGGAUGUUUACCAAGUCUCAAAUUAAAACUCUAGGCUCAACCUAGAGCUAGUUUGAGAAACUGAUAAACUAGAGACUGGGGGAGGCAAGCGGAAUGGCCGGUGUAGUACUAAUAUGCAUUGAUAUCGGCUAGAACACCAAAUGCGAAGGCAGCUUGCUAUAACAGUCCUGACUCUGAGAGACGAAAGCGUGGGUAGCGAAUGGGAUUAGAUACCCCAGUAGUCCACGCCGUAAACUAUGGGUACUAAGUAUUAGGAGUAUCGAUCCUCCUAGUGCUGUCGAGCUAAGCUAACGCCUUAAGUACCCCGCCUGGGGAGUACGGUCGCAAGACUAAAACUCAAAGGAAUUGACGGGAACCCGCACAAGCGGUGGAGCAUGUGGUUUAAUUCGAUGGUAAGCGGAAAACCUUACCAAGGCUUGACAUUCCUGGAAUCUCUUGGAAACAAGAGAGUGCCGCAAGGAACCAGGUAACAGGUGCUGCAUGGUUGUCGUCAGCUCGUGUCGUGAGAUGUCGGGUUAAGUCCUUUAACGAGCGCAACCCUCAUCCUAAUUUAUAAUUCAUUAGGAAACUGCCGAGGAUAACUCGGAGGAAGGUGAGGAUGACGUCAAAUCAGCAUGGCUCUUACGCCUUGGGCUACACACGUGCUACAAUGGCCAGUACAAUGGGUCGCUAAGUCGCAAGAUGGAGCUAAUCCCACCAAAACUGGUCUCAGUUCAGAUUGGAGUCUGCAAUUCGACUCCAUGAAGUUGGAAUCGCUAGUAACCGCGUAUCAGCAUGGCGCGGUGAAUACGUUCUCGGGUUUUGUACACACCGCCCGUCACACCAAUAGAGUUGGUAAUACCCGAAGGCUCUACACUAACGUAGGGACGAAGGUAGGAUCAGCGAUAAGGGUGAAGUCGUAACAAGGCAUCCGUAGCGGAAGCUGUGGAUGGAUCACCUCCUUU
rfam:Tncultured bacterium clone zdt-45e5, complete sequence.